AUCCUAUGGACGGGUCUCAAAUAAAACGAAACGCGCGUCCUGGAU
rnacentral:hammerhead_ribozyme from 1 species